rnacentral:rRNA from 1 species
UAUGGCCACAUCACAUUGAAACACUGGUUCUUGUAUGGUCAUUGAAGUUAAGCAAAAUUGAGCCUGGUCAGUACCUAGAUAGGUGACUACUUGGGAAUACUAGGUGCUGUAAG